rnacentral:rRNA from 1 species
GGUAAGUUAUCUUGUCGGUAUGAGAACAGGCACGCAAGCUGUGUCGUUAGCGUAUGCAUAAGCUACGCUUUAAGACCGAGGAAAGACUAGGCUCCAGCAAACAAUUGCGAAUAAUGCCCCCAUAAUAUCGAUGAUAUGAACGCUUAAUGGUUAUAUAUUAAAGUAUACCAAACGUACAAAAGACAUGAAGCAUGCCCCCAUUAAGUAGAUUGUAAGUGUAACCGGCUUCCAAGACGAUGAUGGACUCCUGAGAGGAAUUCCUCAACAACGGUACCUGAGAUCACCACGACCCAGAGCUCUCUAACGGGAGGCAGCAAGUGAGGAAUAUUGGACAAGGCGGCAAGCGCGUGACCGCUCAGCCGCGUGCAGGAAGAAGGAAAUCGUAUGGGGUUGUGAGAAACUUGCGUUCUGUACGGUAAAAGAAACACUUCCCUCGUGAAGGGAGCUUGGUACGGUGAACCGUGAAGAAAAUAGAGGAUCAGGCUAACAUCCGUGCCCUAGCAGCCGCCGUAAUACGGAAGGACCAUAGCGUGUAUCCGGAACCUAGUUGGUUUUAAAGGGUCCGUAGGCGUGUUUAAUUAAUCCAUGAUAGGAGAAAGCCCAUCGCUCAACGAUGGAACGCCAUUGAUACUGUAGACUUGAAUUACAAACGAAGGUCAAACUAGAAUAUGUAAGUGUAGCGGUGAAAUGCUUAGAUAUUACAUGAAUACCAAUUGCGAAGGCAGGUUACUACUUUGGGAUGACGCUGAUGGACGAAAGCGUGGGGAGCGAACAGGAUUAGAUUACCCUGGUAGUCCACGCCGUAAACGAUGGAUACUAGCUGUUGGGAGCAAUUCAGUGGCUAAGCGAAAGUGAUAAGUAUCACCACCUGGGAGUACGUUCGCAAGAAUGAAAACUCAAAGGAAUUGACGGGGCCGCACAAGCGGUGGAGCAUGUGGUUUUAAUUCGAUGAUACCCGAGGACCUUACCAAAGCUUAAAAUGUAUUGACAGGACUGGAAAACAUUUUUUCUUCCGACAAUUUACAAGGUGCUGCAUGGUUGUCGUCAGUCGUGCCGUGAGGUGUCAGGUUAAGUCCUAUAACGAGCGCAACCCUUGUUAGUUAGUUGACAGGCGAGUCAAGUCGGGAAACUCUAACAAGACUGCCAGUGUAAACUGUGAGAAGGUGGGGAUGACGUCAAAUCAUCACGGCCCUUACGCCUUGGGCUACACACGGCUACAAUGGACGGUACAGAGAGCAGCCACUACGUCAAGUAGGAGCGAAUCUACCAAAACCGUUCUCAGUUCGGAUCGGAAGUCUGCAACUCGAACUCCCGUGAAGCUGGAAAUCGCUAGUAUCGGAUAUCAUCCAUGAUCCGGUGAAUACGUUCCCGGGCCUGUAACACACCGCCCGGUCAAGCAUGGAAAACCUGGGGUGCCUGAAGUCGGUGACCGCAAGAGCUGCCUAGGGUAAAACUGGUAACUAGGGCUAAGUCGAAACAAAGUAGCCGUACCGGGAAGUACGGCUG